rnacentral:snRNA from 1 species
GCACGUGAAGGCGAUAUGGUUGUGAUAACUGUCACCCCAUUGAUUGCCAAGGUUGAUUCAGCUGAUCUGGCUGGCCAGGCAGGUGUCCCCUGCCUGUCUCCUCACUUCUUGCACACCCCUCAUACACCUGCAUACUUCGUCAAAGAGUAUGACCACCCUGACAGAGGAGGACCUUACAAAUAU